AUUGAACGCUGGCGGCAGGCUUAACACAUGCAAGUCGAACGAGUGGCGGACGGGUGAGUAAUGCUUGGGAAUCUGGCUUAUGGAGGGGGAUAACUACGGGAAACUGUAGCUAAUACCGCAUACCAUCGGAUGAGCCCAAGUGGGAUUAGGUAGUUGGUGGGGUAAAGGCUCACCAAGGCGACGAUCCCUAGCUGGUCUGAGAGGAUGACCAGCCACACUGGAACUGAGACACGGCCCAGACUCCUACGGGAGGCAGCAGUGGGGAAUAUUGCGCAAUGGGGGCAAGCCUGACGCAGCCAUGCCGCGUGAAUGAAGAAGGCCUUCGGGUUGUAAAGUACUUUCAGUAGGGAGGCGUUAACUACAGAAGAAGCACCGGCUAACUCCGUGCCAGCAGCCGCGGUAAUUC
rnacentral:rRNA from 1 species